GACGUAGGGCGCGAGCGUUGUCCGGAUUUAUUGGGCGUAAAGAGCUCGUAGGCGGCUUGUCGCGUCGUCCGUGAAAACUUGGGGCUCAACCCCAAGCUUGCGGUCGAUACGGGCAGGCUAGAGUUCGGUAGGGGAGACUGGAAUUCCUGGUGUAGCGGUGAAAUGCGCAGAUAUCAGGAGGAACACCGGUGGCGAAGGCGGGUCUCUGGGCCGAUACUGACGCUGAGGCACGAAAGCCAGGGGAGCAAACGGG
rnacentral:rRNA from 1 species